UUCCGUAGGUGAACCUGCGGAGGGAUCAUUACCGAGUUUUCAACUCCCAAACCCUUUUGUGAACAUACCUAUCGUUGCUUCGGCGGACUCGCCCCAGCGUCCGGCCGGCCCCGCGCCGGCCGCGGCCUGGAUCCAGGCGGCCGCCGGAGACCUCCAAACUCUGUAUUCUCAGUAUCUUCUGAAUCCGCCGCAAGGCAAAACAAAUGAAUCAAAACUUUCAACAACGGAUCUCUUGGUUCUGGCAUCGAUGAAGAACGCAGCGAAAUGCGAUAAGUAAUGUGAAUUGCAGAAUUCAGUGAAUCAUCGAAUCUUUGAACGCACAUUGCGCCCGCCAGCAUUCUGGCGGGCAUGCCUGUUCGAGCGUCAUUUCAACCCUCGACUUCCCUUUGGGGAAAUCGGCGUUGGGGACCGGCCGUAUACCGCCGGCCCCGAAAUGAAGUGGCGGCCCGUCCGCGGCGACCUCUGCGUAGUAAUUCAACUCGCACCGGAACCCCGACGUGGCCACGCCGUAAAACCCCCGACUUCUGAACGUGACCUCGAUCAGGAGAUACCAGCC
rnacentral:rRNA from 1 species